rnacentral:rRNA from 1 species
UACAGAGGGAGCAAGCGUUGUUCGGAAUUACUGGGCGUAAAGGGCGCGUAGGCGGCCUGCUAAGUCGAACGUGAAAUCCCUGGGCUCAACCCAGGAACUGCGUCCGAUACUGGUUGGCUUGAAUCCGGGAGAGGGAUGUGGAAUUCCAGGUGUAGCGGUGAAAUGCGUAGAUAUCUGGAGGAACACCGGUGGCGAAGGCGGGUCUCUGGGCCGAUACUGACGCUGAGGAGCGAAAGCGUGGGGAGCGAACAGG